AUUAGUAUACCACCCUGAACGUACCUGAUCUCAUCUGAUCUCAGAAGCUAAGCAGGGUCGGGCCUGGUUAGUACUUGGAUGGGAGACACCUGGGAAUACUGGAUUCUAUAGUC
rnacentral:rRNA from 1 species